rnacentral:rRNA from 1 species
AGUGGCGGACGGGUGAGUAACGCGUGAGAAUCUGCCUUGGGGUCGGGGACAACCACUGGAAACGGUGGCUAAUACCGGAUAAGCCGAUUGGUGAAAGAUUUAUUGCCCGAAGAGGAGCUCGCGUCUGAUUAGCUAGUUGGUGAGGUAAGAGCUCACCAAGGCAGCGAUCAGUAGCUGGUCUGAGAGGACGAUCAGCCACACUGGGACUGAGACACGGCCCAGACUCCUACGGGAGGCAGCAGUGGGGAAUUUUCCGCAAUGGGCGAAAGCCUGACGGAGCAAGACCGCGUGAGGGAGGAAGGCUCUUGGGUUGUAAACCUCUUUUCUCAGGGAAGAAGCUCUGACGGUACCUGAGGAAUCAGCCUCGGCUAACUCCGUGCCAGCAGCCGCGGUAAUACGGAGGAGGCAAGCGUUAUCCGGAAUUAUUGGGCGUAAAGCGUCCGCAGGUGGCGAUUCAAGUCUGCUGUCAAAGCACGGGGCUUAACUCCGUAAAGGCAGUGGAAACUGAAUAGCUAGAGUGCCGUAGGGGUAGAGGGAAUUCCCGGUGUAGCGGUGAAAUGCGUAGAGAUCGGGAAGAACAUCGGUGGCGAAAGCGCUCUACUGGACGGCCACUGACACUCAGGGACGAAAGCUAGGGGAGCGAAUGGGAUUAGAUACCCC